UGGGGAAUAUUGGACAAUGGGCGCAAGCCUGAUCCAGCCAUGCCGCGUGAGUGAUGAAGGCCCUAGGGGUGUAAAGCUCUUUCACCGGUGAAGAUAAUGACGGUAACCGGAGAAGAAGUCCCGGCUAACUUCGUGCCAGCAGCCGCGGUAAUACGAAGGGGGCUAGCGUUGUUCGGAUUUACUGGGCGUAAAGCGCACGUAGGCGGACUUUUAAGUCAGGGGUGAAAUCCCGGGGCUCAACCCCGGAACUGCCUUUGAUACUGGAAGUCUAGAGUAUGGUAGAGGUGAGUGGAAUUCCGAGUGUAGAGGUGAAAUUCGUAGAUAUUCGGAGGAACACCAGUGGCGAAGGCGGCUCACUGGACCAUUACUGACGCUGAGGUGCGAAAGCGAGGGGAGCAAACAGG
rnacentral:rRNA from 1 species